rnacentral:rRNA from 1 species
AUUGAACGCUGGGGCAUGCCUUACACAUGCAAGUCGAACGGCAGCACGGGCUUCGGUCUGGUGGCGAGUGGCGAACGGGUGAGUAAUGUAUCGGAACGUACCUUUCAGUGGGGGAUAACGUAGCGAAAGUUACGCUAAUACCGCAUAUUCUGUGAGCGGGAAAGCAGGGGAUCGCAAGACCUUGCGCUGAUUGAGCGGCCGAUAUCAGAUUAGCUAGUUGGUGAGGUAAAGGCUCACCAAGGCGACGAUCUGUAGCGGGUCUGAGAGGAUGAUCCGCCACACUGGAACUGAGACACGGUCCAGACUCCUACGGGAGGCAGCAGUGGGGAAUUUUGGACAAUGGGGGCAACCCUGAUCCAGCCAUGCCGCGUGAGUGAAGAAGGCCUUCGGGUUGUAAAGCUCUUUCGGCCGGGAAGAAAUCGCAUGGGUUAAUACCCUGUGUGGAUGACGGUACCGGAAUAAGAAGCACCGGCUAACUACGUGCCAGCCGCCGCUGUAACAC